rnacentral:rRNA from 1 species
UACGUAGGGUGCAAGCGUUGUCCGGAAUUAUUGGGCGUAAAGAGCUCGUAGGCGGUUUGUCACGUCUGGUGUGAAAAUCCAGGGCUUAACCCUGGACCUGCAUCGGGUACGGGCAGACUAGAGUGCGGUAGGGGAGAUCGGAAUUCCUGGUGUAGCGGUGAAAUGCGCAGAUAUCAGGAGGAACACCGGUGGCGAAGGCGGAUCUCUGGGCCGUAACUGACGCUGAGGAGCGAAAGCAUGGGGAGCGAACAGG